AUUGAACGCUGGCGGCAGGCCUAACACAUGCAAGUCGAGCGGAGCGGCGGACGGGUGAGUAAUGCCUAGGAAUCUGACUGGCAGUGGGGGAUAACGUCCGGUCACGGGAGCUAAUCCCGCUUACUAUCAGAUGAGCCUAGGUCGGAUUAGCUAGUUGGUGGGGUAAAGGCCUACCAAGGCGACGAUCCGUAACUGGUCUGAGAGGAUGAUCAGUCACACUGGAACUGAGACACGGUCCAGACUCCUACGGGAGGCAGCAGUGGGGAAGAUUGGACAAUGGGCGAAAGCCUGAUCCAGCCAUGCCGCGUGUGGGAAGAAGGUCUUCGGAUUGUAAAGCACUGUAAGUUGGGAGGCGUUACCAACAGAAUAAGCACCGGCUAACUACGUGCCAGCAGCCGCGGUAAUAC
rnacentral:rRNA from 1 species